GACGAACGCUGGCGGCGUGCUUAACACAUGCAAGUCGAACGGAAAGGCCCUGCUUGCAGGGUACUCGAGUGGCGAACGGGUGAGUAACACGUGGGUGAUCUGCCCUGCACUUCGGGAUAAGCUUGGGAAACUGGGUCUAAUACCGGAUAGGUGCCAUCUUUAGUGUGGUGGUUGGAAAGUUUUUUCGGUGUAGGAUGAGCUCGCGGCCUAUCAGCUUGUUGGUGGGGUAAUGGCCUACCAAGGCGGCGACGGGUAGCCGGCCUGAGAGGGUGUACGGCCACAUUGGGACUGAGAUACGGCCCAGACUCCGACGGGAGGCAGCAGUGGGGAAUAUUGCACAAGGGGCGCAAGCCUGAUGCAGAGACGCCGCGUGGGGGAUGAAGGCCUUCGGGUUGUAAACUCCUUUCGCUAGGGACGAAGCUUUUUUGUGACGGUACCUAGAUAAGAAGCACCGGCUAACUACGUG
rnacentral:rRNA from 1 species